rnacentral:rRNA from 1 species
UUUGACCACUCUAGAGAUAGAGCUUUCCCUUCGGGGACAAAGUGACAGGUGGUGCAUGGUUGUCGUCAGCUCGUGUCGUGAGAUGUUGGGUUAAGUCCCGCAACGAGCGCAACCCUUAUUGUUAGUUGCCAUCAUUUAGUUGGGCACUCUAGCGAGACUGCCGGUGACAAACCGGAGGAAGGUGGGGAUGACGUCAAAUCAUCAUGCCCCUUAUGACCUGGGCUACACACGUGCUACAAUGGGAAGUACAACGAGUCGCUAGACCGCGAGGUCAUGCAAAUCUCUUAAAGCUUCUCUCAGUUCGGAUUGCAGGCUGCAACUCGCCUGCAUGAAGCCGGAAUCGCUAGUAAUCGCGGAUCAGCACGCCGCGGUGAAUACGUUCCCGGGCCUUGUACACACCGCCCGUCACACCACGAGAGUUUGUAACACCCGAAGUCGGUGAGGUAACCUUUUUGGAGCCAGCCGCCUAAGGUGGG